CAGCAGCCGCGGGAAAACAGAGGGUGCGAGCGUUAAUCGGAUUUACUGGGCGUAAAGCGUGCGUAGGCGGCUUCUUAAGUCGGAUGUGAAAUCCCUGAGCUUAACUUAGGAAUUGCAUUCGAUACUGGGAAGCUAGAGUAUGGGAGAGGAUGGUAGAAUUCCAGGUGUAGCGGUGAAAUGCGUAGAGAUCUGGAGGAAUACCGAUGGCGAAGGCAGCCAUCUGGCCUAAUACUGACGCUGAGGUACGAAAGCAUGGGGAGCAAACAGGAUUAGAUACCCCAGUAGUCCCUGUCUCUUAUAC
rnacentral:rRNA from 1 species